CCUACGGGGGGCAGCAGUGGGGAAUAUUGGACAAUGGGCGCAAGCCUGAUCCAGCAAUACCGCGUGUGUGAAGAAGGCCCUAGGGUUGUAAAGCACUUUCAAUUGGGAGGAAAACCUGCCGGUCAAUACCCGGUAGCUUGACAUUACCUUUAGAAGAAGCACCGGCUAACUCCGUGCCAGCAGCCGCGGUAAUACGGAGGGUGCGAGCGUUAAUCGGAAAUACUGGGCGUAAAGCGUGCGUAGGUGGUUCGUUAAGUCAGAUGUGAAAGCCCUGGGCUCAACCUGGGAACUGCAUUUGAAACUGGCGGACUAGAGUGUAGGAGAGGGGAGUGGAAUUUCAGGUGUAGCGGUGAAAUGCGUAGAUAUCAGAAAGAACACCAGUGGCGAAGGCGACUCCCUGGACUAAAACUGACGCUGAGGUACGAAAGCGUGGGUAGCAAACAGGAUUAGAUACCCUGGUAGUC
rnacentral:rRNA from 1 species